rnacentral:rRNA from 1 species
ACGACUCUCGGCAACGGAUAUCUCGGCUCUCGCAUCGAUGAAGAACGUAGCGAAAUGCGAUACCUGGUGUGAAUUGCAGAAUCCCGCGAACCAUCGAGUCUUUGAGCGCAAGUUGCGCCCGAGGCCACCCGGCCGAGGGCACGCCUGCCUGGGCGUCACGC